UACGAAGGGGGCUAGCGUUGCUCGGAAUCACUGGGCGUAAAGCGCACGUAGGCGGUCCGUUAAGUCGGAUGUGAAAUCCCUCGGCUCAACUGAGGAAGUGCAUCCGAAACUGGCAGGCUUGAGUACGAAAGAGGGUCGCGGAAUUCCCGGUGUAGAGGUGAAAUUCGUAGAUAUCGGGAGGAACACCGGUGGCGAAGGCGGCGACCUGGGUCGAUACUGACGCUGAGGAGCGAAAGCGUGGGGAGCGAACAGG
rnacentral:rRNA from 1 species